GACGAGGGGGGCUAGCGUUGUUCGGAAUUACUGGGCGUAAAGGGUUUGUAGGCGGUUACACAAGUCAGUGGUGAAAGCCCGGAGCUUAACUCCGGAAUUGCCAUUGAAACUGUAUAGCUUGAGAGUGUUAGAGGAAAGUGGAAUUCCUAGUGUAGGAGUGAAAUCCGUAGAGAUUAGGAGGAAUAUCGAUGGCGAAGGCAGCUUUCUGGGACAUUUCUGACGCUGAGAAACGAAAGCGUGGGUAGCAAACAGG
rnacentral:rRNA from 1 species